GAUCAUGGCUCAGGAUGAACGCUAGCUACAGGCUUAACACAUGCAAGUCGAGGGGCAUCAGGAAGAAAGCUUGCUUUCUUUGCUGGCGACCGGCGCACGGGUGAGUAACACGUAUCCAACCUGCCCUUUACUCGGGGAUAGCCUUUCGAAAGAAAGAUUAAUACCCGAUGGGAUAAUCAUUCCGCAUGGUUUGAUUAUUAAAGGAUUCCCGGUAAAGGAUGGGGAUGCGUUCCAUUAGGUUGUUGGUGAGGUAACGG
rnacentral:rRNA from 1 species